CAACCUUUGAUAUUUAAGGGCCCUGUGACUCUCACGUCAACAUUUUGUGUUGGGGAGUGCUGAGGAGGAGACUCUGGAGUCUGUCAGGUUUGACUGCAGCAGUGAGAAGCACAGUGGCUGGGAGCUGGAAUUAAAAAAAACAUUAAAACAACUUCGGUACUGGAAGCACUUGGAUGGGAUUGGAACAUCACGUGCAAACAGAAGACAAGCCAGACUGGGAAGGUUACACAACCUCUGGGCACUAUAAAUCCAGGAUUUCCCUCUUCUUCAUCUCUUCACUGCCCUUCCACUCCUCCUCCUGGUGAAACCUCCACCCACAUUCAGCCAUGAGGAUCCUCCAGCUUCUCCUUGCAGUCGUUGUCAUUCUUCUCCUCCAGGAUGUUGCUGGAGCCAGAGGCCUUUCAGACACCCAGCAGUGCAUGAGCAACCGUGGCCACUGCAGGAGGCUUUGCUUCCACAUGGAGCGUUGGGAUGGGAGCUGCAGCAGCGGCCGCCUGCGGUGCUGCCGGUGAGAGCCACCACCCUGGGGUGGAACCCAGCACCCCAUGGCCAUGCACCCAGAGACUCUGCAACCACAACACCACCUAGGAUCUGCUCUGGGACACUCUGGGACACCCCAACCUCCAGCUCAUUUUGUCCUGCAACCAAUAAACAUCUUGGGUUUAUGUAAGCUUCUGGGUCCAGCGCUCGGCUGUGUUUGCCUCGGAGAUGGAUCAUGCUGCUGAAUAUUUGGGGGUUUGAUGAACUUGCCCACCCCAAUUCAUUUAGAGGUGUUUGAGAUGCACUGGGGUACCCAAAAAUCUGCAUGGGACCAAAGGGACAGCUGUGUCCUUCCAGGGUGGCAUCCAGAAAGGGAUCUGCUGGGUUUCUUUAUCAAUUAUGAAGCUUCUAGCCCAUACCCAUAUCCCUGUGUCUGUCACAGUCUUUACCAACGUCUACUUCUUGCUCUAUCCAUCAACAGAAGACACCAGAGCAGGAUUCAUCCUCUUCAAGGAUGUGGAUCCAGGACAGAGCUAUGAUUUGCCCUCUAGAGGUGCCCUGUAACAACAACAAGGUGAACCUUGGCUGGGUGCUCAGGUUCUCUUCACCUCUGAGAUGAGGUGAAGGGGAGUGAGAUGGAGAAAUCCCAAUCCCACGUGGAGAGCAAUGGUGGUCAUACAGCCAGUGUGGGGGGAUCUGCAUCAUCUGGGUGGGCAAAGUCUCGUGUGAAACUUUCCUGUGUACUACAAUGUUUAAAUAAAAAGAAAAACUGCUCAUAAAA